GACGAACGCUGGCGGCGUGCUUAACACAUGCAAGUCGAACGGAAAGGCCCUGCUUUUGUGGGGUGCUCGAGUGGCGAACGGGUGAGUAACACGUGAGUAACCUGCCCUUGACUUUGGGAUAACUUCAGGAAACUGGGGCUAAUACCGGAUAGGAGCUCCUGCUGCAUGGUGGGGGUUGGAAAGUUUCGGCGGUUGGGGAUGGACUCGCGGCUUAUCAGCUUGUUGGUGGGGUAGUGGCUUACCAAGGCUUUGACGGGUAGCCGGCCUGAGAGGGUGACCGGCCACAUUGGGACUGAGAGGCGGCCCAGACUCCUACGGGAGGCAGCAGUGGGGAAUAUUGCACAAUGGGCGGAAGCCUGAUGCAGCAACGCCGCGUGCGGGAUGACGGCCUUCGGGUUGUAAACCGCUUUCGCCUGUGACGAAGCGUGAGUGACGGUAAUGGGUAAAGAAGCACCGGCUAACUACGUG
rnacentral:rRNA from 1 species